rnacentral:rRNA from 1 species
CCUACGGGAGGCUGCAGUGAGGAAUAUUGGUCAAUGGUCGCAGGGCUGAACCAGCCAAGUCGCGUGAGGGAUGACGGUACAAUGGAUCGUAAACCUCUUUUGUCAGGGAGCAAAGGCCGCGACGUGUGGCGCUUUGCGAGUACCUGAAGAAAAAGCAUCGGCUAACUCCGUGCCAGCAGCCGCGGUAAUACGGAGGAUGCGAGCGUUAUCCGGAUUUAUUGGGUUUAAAGGGUGCGCAGGCGGGAUGUCAAGUCAGCGGUAAAAUUUCGGGGCUCAACCCCGUCGUGCCGUUGAAACUGGCGGUCUCGAGUGAGAGAGAAGUAUGCGGAAUGCGUGGUGUAGCGGUGAAAUGCAUAGAUAUCACGCAGAACUCCGAUUGCGAAGGCAGCAUACCGGCGCUCAACUGACGCUGAUGCACGAAAGCGUGGGUAUCGAACAGGAUUAGAUACCCUAGUAGUC